rnacentral:rRNA from 1 species
AUGGCAGGAGCCGAGGUCGUGGUGAAUGCAUGGAAAGGAUGGGGUCUCCAAGCGCUGGUGCUGCUCAGCUUCAUGCUCCAGGUCACUCUCCUCAUCUUGGCGGAGUUCCGCCGGUUCAUCAACUCGGGCGUGCUAAGGGUCUUCGUUUGGUUAGCCUACACGAUGGCCGACGCAACGGCGAUCUACGUGCUCGGCCAUAUGUCGGUGACCAGCAUCGGGCAGGACAACAUCACCGCCUACGCCAUCGAGGACAACCGGCUGUGGCUGCGCCACCUGCAAACACUCGCCGUGCAGGUGGCAGCAGCUGCAUAUGUCAUCUACCAGUCAUCCAACCUUGGCAGGCGGUCCUUGCUCUGGCCGGCCACCAUUCUCGUGUUUGUGGUGGGCGUUCUCAAGUACGGGGAGAGAGUGUGGGCGCUGAGACGCGCUAAUAAGGGGUCAUUACCCACUGAAGGUUUAGGCACAGAUCUGAGUGCGGCGGAGGUGUACAAGGUGGUGGAGAUGCAGCUCUCGCUGAUGCACGACGUCUUCUACACCAAGACACCGGUGAUGCACAACUGGCAUGGCCUCUGCAUCCGUAUAACUUCCCUGGUAGCCACCGUCAUUGCCUUAUUGCUGUUCCAGUUAUCAGGUGAUCACAAGAACUUGUACAAGGGUCGUACAUUAGAUGUUGCUGUCACUUAUGUCCUAUUGGUUGGAGCCGUCAUCCUGGGAUGGAGUAGCCCGGUAUGGUAUCUGCUUGCCCGUGUAGUUGCAUCUCUCCGCCGGCUUGUCCAUGCAGCAGAGUGGAGAAGAAGGCGCUGCUGGUCGCGCUCCAUGGGGCAACACAACAUGAUUCAGUUGUGCGCUCGCAGCAAGGCCAGCCGAAGAAGCAAGGUGGCAAGAUGGAUCGGAGUCGAGGACUCGUGGAACAUGCUGUCCUACUCGACGUCCAUCCCCGUGUCAGCCUUCAUCGAGCAGCUGAUGGUGAAGCAGCUGCUCAAGCUCAGGAAUAAUGGAUGGAGCCCAGAUGAAAUCAUCAUGGCGGAGGGCCGGGAGGCUCUGCAGAGAUGGGGACUGUACGGGCGCCUGGACUGGAGUGUAGAGGAGAGCAUAGUCGUCUGGCACCUCGCGACUGACCUCUAUCUAUCUUGGUGGAAGGAGGAGGACGACGACGCUGACCUUUCCAAGGCGGUCGAGGCGCUGUCCAAUUACAUGAUGUUCCUCCUCGCAGCACGUCCCAGCAUGUUGCCGCCCCCUGCCGACCGUAAUGCCUAUGUCCAGAUGUGCUAUACACUGCUGCCCUCAAAAAAAUUAAAAAGACGCACUUUGGUCAUGCCUGCUCUGGAGUACAUCUCAGCCGGGGAUUUAGUCAGCUCAUUGCGGCUCCUUGGGAACUCAUUGGUCGCUGGAUCGAUUACAUUUGAAUCCACUUUUCCAGUACUCAUCGGCGAGGAUGAGUUAGCAGGCUCGUCCCCAGGUGACAUGCUGAAGCUGAUCGUCCAAGUUUGGUUGGAGAUGCUCUUCUACGUGGGCAGCCGAUGCAGCGCCUACUCCCAUGCCAAGCAGCUCAGCAACGGCAGUGAGCUCAUCACGGUCGCUGCUCUCCUAGUCAAAUACAUCACACGAGGUAUGACCACGGGCGUUGUUUAA